GACGAACGCUGGCGGCGUGCCUAAUACAUGCAAGUAGAACGCUGAAGGAGGAGCUUGCUUCUCUGGAUGAGUUGCGAACGGGUGAGUAACGCGUAGGUAACCUGCCUGGUAGCGGGGGAUAACUAUUGGAAACGAUAGCUAAUACCGCAUAAGAGUAGAUGUCGCAUGACAUUUGCUUAAAAGGUGCAAUUGCAUCACUACCAGAUGGACCUGCGUUGUAUUAGCUAGUUGGUGGGGUAACGGCUCACCAAGGCGACGAUACAUAGCCGACCUGAGAGGGUGAUCGGCCACACUGGGACUGAGACACGGCCCAGACUCCUACGGGAGGCAGCAGUAGGGAAUCUUCGGAAAUGGACGGAAGUCUGAACGAGCAACGCCGCGUGAGUGAAGAAGGUUUUCGGAUCGUAAAGCUCUGUUGUAAGAGAAGAACGAGUGUGAGAGUGGAAAGUUCACACUGUGACGGUAUCUUACCAGAAAGGGACGGCUAACUACGUG
rnacentral:rRNA from 1 species